UACGGAGGGAGCUAGCGUUGUUCGGAAUUACUGGGCGUAAAGCGCACGUAGGCGGCUUUCUAAGUCAGGGGUGAAAUCCUGGAGCUCAACUCCAGAACUGCCUUUGAUACUGGAGAGCUAGAGUCCGGAAGAGGUGAGUGGAACUGCGAGUGUAGAGGUGAAAUUCGUAGAUAUUCGCAAGAACACCAGUGGCGAAGGCGGCUCACUGGUCCGGUACUGACGCUGAGGUGCGAAAGCGUGGGGAGCAAACAGG
rnacentral:rRNA from 1 species